UCUAAACUCAUCAAAUGUAUCUCAAAUUUAUAAUAAGCUGAAGAAAAAGAACAGAUCUAGAUACUCCAAUAUCAUUUACUGUCUUGCAUUUUUUUUCUCUGAAAUUAUCUUCAAUUUUUUCUCUAAGGAUAUAUCGUACCGGGAGACGACAUAUCCAAGAUGGCGGUAAAGGAAUUGAAGUUAUCAAUCAAGAACAAAACAAAUGAAAUCGAACAAUAAAAAAUGGGUCGUCAUCAUAUUUCACGAUUGUAGAGAGCAAGCCUUGUGAUGCGGUGAUUUUGUUCUCGGAAACCCAUGAUCCUAAAAUACUACCACCGAAAUGUCAGGAGAUGACAGACAUGAAUGAAGCAACUCUGCGAGGAGAAUCUGUCUAUAAUGAAUAAACGUGGGGGUCUUAACAAACGUUGUCGCAAAGCUUCUCAUGCUCACAGGAGUUUGGAUGAUAUAAAGGAAAAAAAAUGCAAUUGUUUGAAUGGAAGAAUUGAAUCUCUACAGACAGAAAACAUGCUACAGCGAAGACAAACAUUAUCCUUCCAUGGUGGUACCAGAUGUAUCAGAUAAUGAAAGGAGGGUGAUGCAGCCAGCAAGUCAUGAAUGAAUUUUCUUUUUCUUUUUUUGCCUUGUUUUAUUUUGGUAUUAAGAUGUAGGGUCGGGAUAGUAAGGCAUAUUUUGGGAAUGAUGACUUUUUACUUUUGGUUUGGGAAUGAUGACUUAUACUCUUGGUAUUG